UGCAGGAGAGAGAGAUAUUAAAAGAGAGAGUGUGUCUCUUAAUCUAGUGACUAGAAAAUGAGUAGAAAUGUAGAUGGCUAGGGUAUCGUGGGAGUACUUCUUUCUCAGGAAAGAUUGUGCAUGUAUAGGCGUUUAACGUCUACAGACUACCUUAAUCUUGUUAGCUGUCAAAGAGAUUAUUAUAAAAGCUGUUGAAAAGAUGAGCUGAAAAUGCGUGGAAGAGAGGGGUAAAGUGGGGUUCUGUCGCAGGAAAGAUGGUACCUGGUGUUUACAAAAUUAAUAGCAAUAGGUACCAUCAUUCCUCGACAGAACUUCCCUUUGUCCUCUAGAAAGAUCCUACUCUAAUCGAUAACCACUUCUGAUUGAUUGCAGUUUAAACCAUCUCUCUGGCCGCAUGCGUGCACACGGUCAUUUGAUGCAUAGAGGUAUCAGUAUAGAAUUAUAUUGAACUGUAUACGUCUAGGGAUUUCUUUUCAGGUCUUUAUAUAAACUGCAGGCUAAGGAGUUCCACAGAAAGGGUAUGUUAUGUUUCAGUUAUAAGCUUGCAGAGGUGUUUAAUCUAUUGAACGUAGUAGUAUUUCUUAAUUAAUAUGAAUGUUCUUCAGAAAUUUUACUGGAAUUCCUUUUUGGAAUUAUACUCUCUCUUCUUCUUUUUUUGGUUUUGUUUCUUUUUAUGUUUAGGACUUGGCGUCUUGAUUGCAUCAGUGUUCCUUCCGUCUCUGACAUACUUACGACCAAACCAACAAAAAGGAAAGAAUAUGGAACGGGCGUGAUUCUGUUUCUUUUUAAAAUCAAAGUAGGGACGUCUGGGUAGGAAUGGCGCAUGGUUCCUAAUGUGGCAGAUUAUAAAGGCGUGAGAAGAUUUAAGGAGCUGCUGGUUUUUCACUUGUCAGUUACUGCUGUGAGCUUGAUCCCGUCAACAUCUGAUCACAGUAUCCAGUGCAUAUCUUUCUUGGGUCUGUCUUUUUUUACCUGGUUUCGGUCAUUUUAGGCAAUAUCAGCUAAUUGCUGUUGUGUUAGUAAUUCUAAUAUUGCUUAAAAGCUAUAUUAAUUAAUAAAAUUCUUGUGCCUAUA